rnacentral:pre_miRNA from 1 species
GUUUCCCUUUGUGUGGACAGCAUUCAGCACCAAGGACAGGUGUGUUUGCUUGUAUGUGGAUGGUAUUCAGCACUCGGGGCAGACAUGUUAACCU